rnacentral:rRNA from 1 species
AACGAACGCUGGCGGCAGGCUUAACACAUGCAAGUCGAACGCCCCGCAAGGGGAGUGGCAGACGGGUGAGUAACGCGUGGGAAUCUACCCAGUUCUACGGAAUAACCCAGGGAAACUUGGACUAAUACCGUAUACGCCCUACGGGGGAAAGAUUUAUCGGAAUUGGAUGAGCCCGCGUUGGAUUAGCUAGUUGGUGGGGUAAUGGCCUACCAAGGCGACGAUCCAUAGCUGGUCUGAGAGGAUGAUCAGCCACACUGGGACUGAGACACGGCCCAGACUCCUACGGGAGGCAGCAGUGGGGAAUAUUGGACAAUUGGCGCAAGCCUGAUCCAGCCAUGCCGCGUGAGUGAUGAAGGCCUUAGGGUUGUAAAGCUCUUUCAGUGGGGAAGAUAAUGACGGUACCCACAGAAGAAGCCCCGGCUAACUUCGUGCCAGCCGCCGCAGUAACAC